rnacentral:tRNA from 1 species
GCCCCGAUAGCUCAGCUGGAUAGAGCGAUCGCCUCCUAAGCGAUAGGUCGCAGGUUCGAAUCCUGCUCGGGGCGCCA